AAAAAAGCUGACUUUAGUGGCAUCUUCGGUUCAUCGCCCAAUCAGUUUAUUUCUGCUGUCAAACAAAAAUCUGUUAUCGAAAUUGAUGAGCUUGGCUCACAACCAGCAGGAAAAAUAGAAAAUUGCCAAAAGGACCAGCUAUUCAAUGUCAAUCAUCCAUUUCUCUUUGGGAUUCGCAGUAAUUCAGCUGUAUAUUUUGCUGGUCACAUUGUCAAGUUUUAAGUUUUUUAAAUGAAGGAAAUUUGUUUAAUGCUAAUAAAUAUAAUGUGCUAUAAAUAAAGCUACAUGCAUAUAAAUAAAACAUGGCUAAACUGAAA